rnacentral:rRNA from 1 species
GAAGAACGCUGGCGGCGUGCCUAAUACAUGCAAGUUGAGCGAUGAAGAUUGGUGCUUGCACCAAUUUGAAGAGCAGCGAACGGGUGAGUAACGCGUGGGGAAUCUGCCUUUGAGCGGGGGACAACAUUUGGAAACGAAUGCUAAUACCGCAUAACAACUUUAAACAUAAGUUUUAAGUUUGAAAGAUGCAAUUGCAUCACUCAAAGAUGAUCCCGCGUUGUAUUAGCUAGUUGGUGAGGUAAAGGCUCACCAAGGCGAUGAUACAUAGCCGACCUGAGAGGGUGAUCGGCCACAUUGGGACUGAGACACGGCCCAAACUCCUACGGGAGGCAGCAGUAGGGAAUCUUCGGCAAUGGACGAAAGUCUGACCGAGCAACGCCGCGUGAGUGAAGAAGGUUUUCGGAUCGUAAAACUCUGUUGGUAGAGAAGAACGUUGGUGAGAGUGGAAAGCUCAUCAAGUGACGGUAACUACCCAGAAAGGGACGGCUAACUACGUG